UACGUAGGCAGCGAGCGUUGUUCGGAGUUACUGGGCGUAAAGGGCGCGUAGGCGGUCAGCACAAGUCAGUUGUGAAAUCUCCGAGCUUAACUCGGAAAGGUCAACUGAUACUGUGCGACUAGAGUGCGGAAGGGGCAACUGGAAUUCUUGGUGUAGCGGUGAAAUGCGUAGAUAUCAAGAGGAACACCUGCGGCGAAGGCGGGUUGCUGGGCCGACACUGACGCUGAAGCGCGAAAGCCAGGGGAGCGAACGGG
rnacentral:rRNA from 1 species